rnacentral:rRNA from 1 species
GGGCAAUCUGCCCUUCACUCUGGGACAAGCCCUGGAAACGGGGUCUAAUACCGGAUAACACUUACCUCCUCCUGGGGGUUGGUUAAAAGCUCCGGCGGUGAAGGAUGAGCCCGCGGCCUAUCAGCUUGUUGGUGGGGUAAUGGCCUACCAAGGCGACGACGGGUAGCCGGCCUGAGAGGGCGACCGGCCACACUGGGACUGAGACACGGCCCAGACUCCUACGGGAGGCAGCAGUGGGGAAUAUUGCACAAUGGGCGAAAGCCUGAUGCAGCGACGCCGCGUGAGGGAUGACGGCCUUCGGGUUGUAAACCUCUUUCAGCAGGGAAGAAGCGCAAGUGACGGUACCUGCAGAAGAAGCACCGGCUAACUACGUGCCAGCAGCCGCGGUAAUACGUAGGGUGCGAGCGUUGUCCGGAAUUAUUGGGCGUAAAGAGCUCGUAGGCGGUCUGUCACGUCGGAUGUGAAAGCCCGGGGCUUAACCCCGGGUCUGCAUUCGAUACGGGCAGACUAGAGUGUGGUAGGGGAGAUCGGAAUUCCUGGUGUAGCGGUGAAAUGCGCAGAUAUCAGGAGGAACACCGGUGGCGAAGGCGGAUCUCUGGGCCAUUACUGACGCUGAGGAGCGAAAGCGUGGGGAGCGAACAGGAUUAGAUACCCUGGUAGUCCACGCCGUAAACGUUGGGAACUAGGUGUUGGCGACAUUCCACGUCGUCGGUGCCGCAGCUAACGCAUUAAGUU